rnacentral:rRNA from 1 species
CAGGGUUUGAUCCUGGCUCAGAUUGAACGCUGGCGGCAGGCCUAACACAUGCAAGUCGAGCGGAUGAAGGGAGCUUGCUCCUGGAUUCAGCGGCGGACGGGUGAGUAAUGCCUAGGAAUCUGCCUGGUAGUGGGGGAUAACGUCCGGAAACGGGCGCUAAUACCGCAUACGUCCUGAGGGAGAAAGUGGGGGAUCUUCGGACCUCACGCUAUCAGAUGAGCCUAGGUCGGAUUAGCUAGUUGGUGGGGUAAAGGCCUACCAAGGCGACGAUCCGUAACUGGUCUGAGAGGAUGAUCAGUCACACUGGAACUGAGACACGGUCCAGACUCCUACGGGAGGCAGCAGUGGGGAAUAUUGGACAAUGGGCGAAAGCCUGAUCCAGCCAUGCCGCGUGUGUGAAGAAGGUCUUCGGAUUGUAAAGCACUUUAAGUUGGGAGGAAGGGCAGUAAGUUAAUACCUUGCUGUUUUGACGUUACCAACAGAAUAAGCACCGGCUAACUUCGUGCCAGCAGCCGCGGUAAUACGAAGGGUGCAAGCGUUAAUCGGAAUUACUGGGCGUAAAGCGCGCGUAGGUGGUUCAGCAAGUUGGAUGUGAAAUCCCCGGGCUCAACCUGGGAACUGCAUCCAAAACUACUGAGCUAGAGUACGGUAGAGGGUGGUGGAAUUUCCUGUGUAGCGGUGAAAUGCGUAGAUAUAGGAAGGAACACCAGUGGCGAAGGCGACCACCUGGACUGAUACUGACACUGAGGUGCGAAAGCGUGGGGAGCAAACAGGAUUAGAUACCCUGGUAGUCCACGCCGUAAACGAUGUCGACUAGCCGUUGGGAUCCUUGAGAUCUUAGUGGCGCAGCUAACGCGAUAAGUCGACCGCCUGGGGAGUACGGCCGCAAGGUAAAACUCAAAGGAAUUGACGGU